rnacentral:other from 1 species
CACAAAAGGAGGGAGGGAGGGGAACGAGCGAGAGGCAGAACUUCCUCCACCUCCAGGAGUACUGGGUGGAGUGGGGGGCUCGGAAUAGAGAUUGGGGAACUGGGUUGGGGGGGUACCCACAGCCUGUCCCCCGAGUCUGCUCCUUGUGCUCACCCUCUCUGGUGUGUCUGUCGGUUGCAGUGCUGGAGGUUGGCUCGGGCCCCCGCCCUCCGCGGUCCCCACGGGAAGGAAGCACCCCCCGUAUUAAAGAGAGCAGAGCGGAAAGAAGCUGUUAGUCGCCGGCCGAGAGGCGAGCCGAUGCCCGGCUGCACCGCGUCCACCAUG